GAAUUCAACUCCUACGGGAGGCAGCAGUGGGGAAUAUUGGACAAUGGGCGCAAGCCUGAUCCAGCAAUGCCGCGUGGGUGAAGAAGGCCUUCGGGUUGUAAGGCCCUUUUGUACGGGAAGAAAUCCUGUCGGUUAAUACCCGGCGGGGAUGACGGUACCGUAAGAAUAAGCACCGGCUAACUUCGUGCCAGCAGCCGCGGUAAUACGAAGGGUGCAAGCGUUAAUCGGAAUUACUGGGCGUAAAGCGUGCGUAGGCGGUUGGCUAAGUCAGAUGUGAAAGCCCUGGGCUCAACCUGGGAAUGGCAUUUGAAACUUGCUGGCUAGAGUGUGAUAGAGGAUGGCGGAAUUCCCGGUGUAGCGGUGAAAUGCGUAGAGAUCGGGAGGAACAUCCGUGGCGAAGGCGGCCAUCUGGAUCAACACUGACGCUGAGGCACGAAAGCGUGGGGAGCAAACAGGAUUAGAUACCCGAGUAGUCCAGGCGUU
rnacentral:rRNA from 1 species